rnacentral:lncRNA from 1 species
AGCUGCACAAGAAGCUCAGGGCCUGAAGAUGAACACGCAGAGGCUGUGUGCAGGGGCAUGAGCUUACAGCUGGAAUUAGAGAUAAAGGAAAAGGCACCUGAGCCCUGUGACAUGCGGGGGGUCAGGGGAGGUGGGACAUAUGUGGCCUCGUAGCCAGAGCCCCGCCUGUUUCCCAGGACAUUCUGAAUACGGGUGAGAGACUGCGCGUUGGACAAUCACUGUGAGUCCCGACCCUUACCAGAAAAGUCACUCGCAGCGUCGUUUCCAGGCAUAGGUUAGGAUCACCAUCCUCUCCCACGGGCCGUAUGUUGCAAUCCUGAUAUGAAAACGUCUUCUAUCUCCUUCAACUGCGGCAGGAGCACAGAUUUGCUGGGGCUCUGUGGCGCAGUGGAGGCGAGGACAGAGGUGGCCCUGCUCUGGGAGAUCCCUUCCUAACUGGGGCUCCCUGACGGCUUCCUGCACAGGAGGGGCCCGACGCCGGCGGGACAAGCAGGGAGCCCAGAUCAGCCUUGGAAAGCUCAGGCUCAAACCAGAGCUCAAUGUGGAAAUUAAAAAACAAACCUUGA